GCGGGAGAGAGAGGGGAUGACAUGCAGUGGCCACGGGUUGGAAUAGAACCCGGGCCACUGCGGUAAGGACUCAGCCUUAAUGGUACACGCUCUACCAGGUCCUUCCCUCUCCACUGCGCUUCAGUUCUGCCUCCAAAGCCCCUCCACACAGGAGGCUGUCACGCACACGCAGGCUAGUAACUACAGCAACUGAAGAGGUCAGGCCCAGGUAUACAACAGAGCGUACACACCGGGAAUGGACAUAUAGCAGAGGAAAACAGAGGGCAAUAUCUCCCCAUCCUUCAGUGAUUAGAUUACGUUUCUCAGCAGCCUGCUCCCACUGUGGUUUAGGAGGCGAACACUCCUAAAAUGAGGUGUCAUUGCAAAUUACAGGAGCAGCUGAGGCCCAGCGCCACCCCACCAGCUAGACUCACCCAUCCACGUGCUACCCACAGUAAUCAUUCCUGAUCUGGCCCACAGUGAAAUAACAGAAAUUGGUGCUGAUGUGGUGUUUGUGUCAGGGGCUGGGGUGGGGUUGGCUGAGUCCAACGCAGAUGCA